GAUGUCUUGUUACCUUAUGGCCAGAGUUUCUUUCCUUUUGAAGCAUCACUAUACGUUUCACAAGCUGGCAUUUUUGUGGGCGGUUGUGUGAUGUCGCUAAGAGUGUCCGAGCCUUGGAAACGCAACGGCUACUGCUACUGCUGUUUCACCUCCAGGACGCCAGACACCAAGGUUUCUAUUCAUCAAUGUUCCUCAUACAGUAUAAAAACCAGCAGUGGUCCAAGGAGGAAGCUUGGGUGCUUAUUGAGACCUUGCUGGCUUUGAUGAAGCUACUGCCAUGUUGGAGAGGUGUACAUGGCAAGGUGUAUCUGGCAGCCUCCAGAUAGAGAGAAACUGAGACCCUCAUUCCAAGAACCCAGGAAGAACUGAAUCCUGCCAACUACCACAUGAGUGACCUGCGAAGCUUGUCCUUCCCAAGUUGAGCUGUGAGAUGACUACGGACCCAGCUGACACCUUGAUUGCAGCUUGUGAGAGGGCUUGAAGCAGAGCACCUCAUUAAGCUGUGUCUGGAUUCUUGGCCCACCAAAACUGGGAGCUAAUUAAUGUUGCUUUAAGCCAUUAAUUUUUGGGGUAAUUUGUUAUGCAGUAAUAGACAACUAAUACACAAAAGCUACAAGGAUCAUGUUUUAAUCUAUACUAGUUGAUCUAACUAUAUACUGACAAUAGGUGAAUUAUAUGGCAUGUGAAUUAUACCUCAAU
rnacentral:lncRNA from 1 species